rnacentral:rRNA from 1 species
GUCAGAGUUUGAUCCUGGCUCAGAUUGAACGCUGGCGGAAUGCUUUACACAUGCAAGUCGAACGGUAGAGGGGGCAACCCCUUGAGAGUGGCGAACGGGUGAGUAAUAUAUCGGAACGUGCCCAGUCGUGGGGGAUAACGUAGCGAAAGUUACGCUAAUACCGCAUACGAUCUAAGGAUGAAAGCGGGGGAUCGCAAGACCUCGCGCGAUUGGAGCGGCCGAUAUCAGAUUAGGUAGUUGGUGAGGUAAUGGCUCACCAAGGCGACGACGGGGUAGCCGGCCUGAGAGGGUGACCGUCCACACUGGGACUGAGACACAGCCCAGACUCCUACGGGAGCAGCAGUGGGGAAUAUUGCACAAUGGGCGAAAGCCUGAUGCAGCAACGCCGCGUGAGGGAUGAAGGCCUUCGGUUGUAAACCUCUUUAGCAGGGAAGAAAGCGAAAGUGACGGUACCUGCAAGAAAACGCACCGGCUAACUACGUGCCAGCAGCGCGGUAAUCUGAUGGCGCGA